CCAAUAGCGUAUAUUAAAGUUGUUGCAGUUAAAAAGCUCGUAGUUGAACUUCGGGGUCUACCCAUUGGUCAGGCUUAAUUGUCUGCACUGGUGAGAUGGAUCUCUACCUUCUGAGGAACUUUCAUGCCAUUUAUUUGGUGUGAUGGGAAAUCAGGACUGUUACUUUGAAAAAAUUAGAGUGUUUAAAGCAGACUAACGUCUGAAUACAUUAGCAUGGAAUAAUGAAAUAGGACGGACUGAUUCUAUUUCGUUGGUUUCUAGGAUCACCGUAAUGAUUAAUAGGGAUAGUUGGGGGCAUUAGUAUUCAAUUGUCAGAGGUGAAAUUCUUGGAUUUAUUGAAGACUAACUACUGCGAAAGCAUUUGCCAAGGAUGUUUUCAUUAAUCAAGAACGAAAGUUAGGGGAUCGAAGACGAUCAGAUACCGUCGUAGUCUUAACCAUAAACUAUGCCGACUAGGGAUCGGAUGAUGUUAAUUUUUUAAUGACUCAUUCGGCGCCUUACG
rnacentral:rRNA from 1 species